UACCACGGAGUCUAGCAUGUGUGCGAGUCAUUGAGUUGAUUUUAUUAGAUAAAACUGAAAGGCGCAACGAAAGUGAAGGCGGACGCUCGCCGUCCGCUCAGGGAGGAUGGAGCCUCGAUCUCGGUCGGGGCUCUCGCACUCCCGAGGCGUCUCGUUUCCAAUCAGUGAAUGCAGGCGCGCUCUGAGCACAGAUGCUGGGACCCGAAAGAUGGUGAACUAUGCCUGGUCAGGUCGAAGUCAGGGGAAACCCUGAUGGAGGACCGUAGCGAUUCUGACGUGCAAAUCGAUCGUCGGAACUGGGUAUAGGGGCGAAAGACUAAUCGAACCAUCUAGUAGCUGGUUCCGUCCGAAGUUUCCCUCAGGAUAGCUGGCGUCGAUGUUUGAACAGUCUCAUCCGGUAAAGCGAAUGAUUAGAGGCAUUGGGGCCGAAACGACCUCAACCUAUUCUCAAACUUUAAAUGGGUGAGAACUCCGGCUUACUCGAACGAUGAAGCCGGAGAUCUGAUGACGGUGCCAAGUGGGCCAAUUUUGGUAAGCAGAACGGCGCUGUGGGAUGAACCAAACGUAGUGUUAAGGCGCCUAAAAAACGCUCAUGGGACACCAUGAAAGGCGUUGGUCGCUCAUGACAGCAGGACGGUGGCCAUG
rnacentral:rRNA from 1 species